UACGAAGGGGGCUAGCGUUGCUCGGAAUCACUGGGCGUAAAGCGCACGUAGGCGGCUUCCUAAGUCAGGGGUGAAAUCCUGGAGCUCAACUCCGGAACUGCCUUUGAUACUGAGAAUCUCGAGUCCGGGAGAGGUGAGUGGAACUCCGAGUGUAGAGGUGAAAUUCGUAGAUAUUCGCAAGAACACCAGUGGCGAAGGCGACUUCCUGGCCUGUUCUUGACGCUGAGGCGCGAAAGCUGGGGAGCAAACGGGG
rnacentral:rRNA from 1 species